rnacentral:rRNA from 1 species
GUCGAGAAUUUUUCACAAUGGGGGAAACCCUGAUGGAGCGACGCCGCGUGGGGGAUGAAUGGCUUCGGCCCGUAAACCCCUGUCAUUCGCGAUCAAUGCGUGUUGUUUAAGAGAUGACAUGUUGAUAGUAGCGGAAGAGGAAGGGACGGCUAACUCUGUGCCAGCAGCCGCGGUAAUACAGAGGUCCCGAGCGUUGUUCGGAUUCACUGGGCGUAAAGGGUGCGUAGGUGGUGAGGUAAGUCGGAUGUGAAAGCUCGGAGCUCAACUCCGAAAUGGCAUUGGAAACUACCUUGCUAGAGGUUUGGAAGGGGGACUGGAAUGCUUGGUGUAGCAGUGAAAUGCGUAGAUAUCAAGCGGAACACCAGUGGCGAAGGCGAGUCCCUGGACAACACCUGACACUGAGGCACGAAAGCUAGGGGAGCAAACAGGAUUAGAUACCCGGGUAGUCC